CGUAGGGUGCGAGCGUUAAUCGGAAUUACUGGGCGUAAAGUGUGCGCAGGCGGCGAAGCAAGUCGAGUGUGAAAGCCCCGGGCUUAACUUGGGAAUUGCGCUCGAAACUACUUUGCUGGAGUGUGGCAGAGGAAGGUGGAAUUCCACGUGUAGCGGUGAAAUGCGUAGAGAUGUGGAGGAACACCAAUGGCGAAGGCAGCCUUCUGGGCCAACACUGACGCUCAUGCACGAAAGCGUGGGGAGCAAACAGGAUUAGAUACCCUGGUAGUCUACGCCCUAAACGAUGACGACUAGUUGUUGGAGGAGUUAAAUCCUUUAGUAACGCAGCUAACGCGCGAAGUCGUCCGCCUGGGGAGUACGGUCGCAAGAUUA
rnacentral:rRNA from 1 species